CCUACGGGUGGCUGCAGUGGGGAAUAUUGGACAAUGGGCGAAAGCCUGAUCCAGCCAUGCCGCGUGUGUGAAGAAGGCCUUCGGGUUGUAAAGCACUUUCAGUGGGGAAGAAAGCCUUGGGGCUAAUACCCUCGAGGAAGGACAUCACCCACAGAAGAAGCACCGGCUAACUCCGUGCCAGCAGCCGCGGUAAUACGGAGGGUGCGAGCGUUAAUCGGAAUUACUGGGCGUAAAGCGCGCGUAGGCGGUCUGAUAAGCCGGUUGUGAAAGCCCCGGGCUCAACCUGGGAACGGCAUCCGGAACUGUCAGGCUAGAGUGCAGGAGAGGAAGGUAGAAUUCCCGGUGUAGCGGUGAAAUGCGUAGAGAUCGGGAGGAAUACCAGUGGCGAAGGCGGCCUUCUGGACUGACACUGACGCUGAGGUGCGAAAGCGUGGGUAGCAAACAGGAGUAGAUACCCCAGUAGUC
rnacentral:rRNA from 1 species